rnacentral:lncRNA from 1 species
UCUGUUAUUAGGUCCUGUCUGUCUGUUAUUAGGUCCUGUCUGUCUGUUAACAGGUCCUGUCUGUCUGUUAUUAGGUCCUGUCUGACUGUUAUUAGGUCCUGUCUGUCUGUAAUUUCCUUGGCUCCUCGCUUCUUCAAAACCCAUUGGAUGAGGUCAGAGGUCCCUCACGGUGUAGUACCGGGCUGGCCAACCCUGUUCCUGGAGAGAGACCCUCCCGUUGGUCCUGGAGAGAGACCCUCCUAUUGGUCCUGGAGAGAGACCCUCCUAUUGGUCCUGGAGAGAGACCCUCCUAUUGGUCCUGGAGAGAGACCCUCCUAUUGGUCCUGGAGAGAGACCCUCCUAUUGGUCCUGGAGAGAGACCCUCCUAUUGGUCCUGGAGAGAGACCCUCCUAUUGGUCCUGGAGAGAGACCCUCCCAUUGGUCCUGGAGAGAGACCCUCCUAUUGGUCCUGGAGAGAGACCCUCCUAUUGGUCCUGGAGAGAGACCCUCCUAUUGGUCCUGGAGAGAGACCCUCCCGUUGGUCCUGGAGAGAGACCCUCCUAUUGGUCCUGGAGAGAGACCCUCCUAUUGGUCCUGGAGAGAGACCCUCCUAUUGGUCCUGGAGAGAGACCCUCCUAUUGGUCCUGGAGAGAGACCCUCCCGUUGGUCCUGGAGAGAGACCCUCCCGUUGGUCCUGGAGAGAGACCCUCCUAUUGGUCCUGGAGAGAGACCCUCCUAUUGGUCCUGGAGAGAGACCGUCCUAUUGGUCCUGGAGAGAGACCCUCCUAUUGGUCCUGGAGAGAGACCCUCCUAUUGGUCCUGGAGAGAGACCGUCCUAUUGGUCCUGGAGAGAGACCCUCC